AGCGGCACACGAGCUAGAGGAUAAUUCGAAUCGUGUUGUUGUUUUGCUUCGGAGUAUCAACAUCGUUAGGAUAUACAUAAUGUAAUAGUAAACAAACUCCGCGCAAAACAAUAUCGCUGCUACGUGCAGUCGUCAAUGUCGAAUUUAAACUUUCCGGUACUCCCCUGAUCAGUAUAAAUAAACGAACGCGAUCGUAAGAUGACCAGUUCUGUCAGUUUCAGUCUUGAACAAUUUUAUUAGCGAUGAAUACGCAGUCUUUAGCGAAUCAGUUAGUAUCGAGCUUAUUAUAUGUAUACAGAGAGAAAAUGCAUGGAU